UUCUUAAGGGAUGAGUAAUAUAAGGGACACAUGUCUUCUUAUAUAUCAAUUAGACUAAAUAUUUCCAACACCCAUUUUCAUUGAUUUUGACGACAAGUCAUUGAGAGAAUUAAACGUUGGCACUUGACAGUAGCUAUUUUCUUAUGCUGGGAGCAAUUUCCAAACGUAACCAGAAAAAAAAAAAAUCUCAAGAACUUAUGCAGCAACGUUUCAUACUUAUUUUAUGAAAGCAAAUAUAGUUCUUGUUCAAAUAUCUAACAGAAGCAAGAUUGUUCUUGGCAAGUUCAAGUGAAAAGGGUGGUUGAUAGAUUCAUCAAUUAAGGCUAAAGGGGUGACAAAGCGAACGAGAUUACGAAUAACAUUCAUCAGGUCAGCAGGUAGACGGACCUGAUUCCUAGGAGUUCUAUCAGCAGUAAGUGGCAGCGCUCCAGUUAUCCCGGAGCCUCAGUCCCUUGGUAGUAUUUUGUGUAUAUAUUCGGGCACGGCAGUACUCGGCCCUUCCUAUGUAUAUGUGUACUAUGUUUAGAGGCUCGUAGACAGAUAUGUACAGUCAGAUGUUUUGUACUUUUGUUGUCCUCGUCGUUGUAUAACGUGCUAGCAAAGUUUAUAAGUCCAUGUUUACAAUUAUGCCAUUAAUGUUAGCGUUAAGCAACAAAAAAAAAGAGAAAAAAAAAUACGGUAUAGUCUAUACGGCCCACCUAGUAGUAAAAGUAUGAUAUGAGAUAAGGGGUGCUCAGUACAAGUAUCGGG